rnacentral:rRNA from 1 species
UUCGAGUGGCGGACGGGUGAGUAACGCGUGGGUAACCUGCCUUACACAGGGGGAUAACACCUGGAAACAGGUGCUAAUACCGCAUAAGCGCACAGGGCCGCAUGGCCCGGUGUGAAAAACUCCGGUGGUGUAAGAUGGACCCGCGUCUGAUUAGCUUGUUGGCGGGGUAGGGGCCCACCAAGGCGAUGAUCAGUAGCCGGCCUGAGAGGGUGGACGGCCACAUUGGGACUGAGACACGGCCCAAACUCCUACGGAAGGCAGCAG